AUGUUUCACCCAUCUGUUUCAGCUGUGGCAAUAAACACCACUGGCAGAACCAGUGGAAGAGCAGCCCUUUGCUCCCUUCCCAGAAAACAAAACUGGAAACUGGAGCAGAGCACAUGGGAAGGGUCAGCUGGAGCAUCCUGGGAAUGGAAGGGAAGGGCCAUGCAGCCAGGCUCCCAUCCCAGCCACCUCCCAGCCUGCAGCAUCCCUCCCCAGCCCUGCCUGGGGGGAAUCCCAAGACUGCCACAGCUUCCUGCUCACUUCCUCCACUUUGGGGAGAAAUUGUAGCUAAGGCUGAUCAGCUGUGAGCUGCCACAGGCAGACCCAGGUCCCUCGGGCUGAGUUCCAGCUGCUGCUGGGAGCAGUCUGUGGUCCCAGCUGGGCUGCACUGGACAUCAGCUGGAAUGCCAGGAGGAGCUCAGUCCUCUCAGAGAGAAGGCCUGGAGCAUUAUCUUCUGCUAAUGCAGGUGAGGCUUAUUAAUAUUAUUUAUAUUAAUAGCUUUUCAUGGAAAUGAGGAAGUUUUCUCCAGAGAACAGGGGGAUGCCUUCAAAUGAUGGCUUGUUAGAGCGAGAGGGAUCCAAGGGAAAGCUGAUGUUCCUAUCAUAGAAUCAUAGCAUCCUUUGGGCUGCAGGGACCUUAAAAUCCUUUAAAGGGGUCUUGAAGAUCAUCUCAUUUCACUCCCUGCUGUGGCAGGGACAUCUUCCACUGUCUCAGGCUGCUCCAAGCCCUGUCCAACCUGGCCUUGGGCACUUCCAGGGAUCCAGGGGCAGCCUCAGCUUCUCUGGGCACCCUGUGCCAGGGCCUGCCCACCCUCCCAGGGAAGGGUGGGGAGAAGGAUCACUCUGAGUGGUCUCAGAGGAAGCCAGGGCAGAUAUGUAAUACCCCUUCACCCUCCCCCAAAGGCUAAAUAAAAAAUAAUUUUUAAAAAACA
rnacentral:lncRNA from 1 species